rnacentral:rRNA from 1 species
GAUGAACGCUGGCGGCGUGCCUAAUACAUGCAAGUCGAGCGAACAGACGAGGAGCUUGCUCCUCUGACGUUAGCGGCGGACGGGUGAGUAACACGUGGAUAACCUACCUAUAAGACUGGGAUAACUUCGGGAAACCGGAGCUAAUACCGGAUAAUAUAUUGAACCGCAUGGUUCAAUAGUGAAAGACGGUUUUGCUGUCACUUAUAGAUGGAUCCGCGCCGCAUUAGCUAGUUGGUAAGGUAACGGCUUACCAAGGCGACGAUGCGUAGCCGACCUGAGAGGGUGAUCGGCCACACUGGAACUGAGACACGGUCCAGACUCCUACGGGAGGCAGCAGUAGGGAAUCUUCCGCAAAGGGCGAAAGCCUGACGGAGCAACGCCGCGUGAGUGAUGAAGGUCUUCGGAUCGUAAAACUCUGUUAUUAGGGAAGAACAAAUGUGUAAGUAACUAUGCACGUCUUGACGGUACCUAAUCAGAAAGUCACGGCUAACUACGUG